GGACGCUCGGUCGCUACGUAGCGACCGAGCGAGACGGACGUUCGAUCGCUACGUAGCGACCGAGCUUGGCUCGAACUCGGUCGCUACGUAGCGACCGAGCUUGGCUUGAACGCUACGUAGCGACCGAAUGGGACGGACGCUCGGUCUCGGUCGCUACGUAGCGGCACGUGUGCUC
rnacentral:pre_miRNA from 1 species